ACUCCUUCCCUGCCUUUCCUACCUAUCACUCUCGUGCUGAAAGUUGGAGCUCCUUACCCAAAGACUGGGCGGAAAGGGUGACCGCCCUGGACCCCUGCCCGACUUCCCGUUAGGCCAAGCCGCUGUCCUGAAAGGGGAUCGUGUCCAGGCCGGCUUCCUGGAGACACACCUGCGCCUGCACACACCCACCGCGGUCGCGUCACCAGUGCCGCGGCCACGUGGACGAAGACCAAAGUCUGGAGGGAAUUCCCUCAGCCACAAAGCGAUGGGAAAGCGGGACCCGGAUUAGGGAUCGUGAUGUGGAGCUGCACUUCCUGGUUCCAAAUCCUGGCUCUUCCCCUCAUCCCUGGGUAAGUUGAGGGAUGAGAGCAAGAGAAGGUUGAUCCUGACUCAGAUCUCUGCAUGGGGCAUGUCACUGAUGACGGCGGCAUUCCCUGAGAGAGGGAACACUAAGUUUGAAGUUGGGCAUAGUGAGCACUAUUUUGGAUGAGUUAAGUUUAGAAGUGCCUGAAGACAUCCAAGUGGAAGAAGUGGCUGCAUGGACUGAAGAUACAGACUGGGAAACGUUAACACCAUCAAGGAACUGGAGUCCUGGGCACAGAAUAUGCUGCAAAGGGAGAAGAAGGAAGACGUGUGGUAUGGAAUCACCUAUGGAUAAGGUUGAGAACCAUGGGCUAGAUGCUAUGGAGACCAACGUAUCACUUACUAGGCUUUACUUUGUGCCAGGCACUGGAUUCGGCAUUACCCCAUUUAAGCCUCACUACCAUCCUUCAUGUUACUAUUCCACGUUGCCGCUCAGGAGAAACAAAAUUUUUUUAUUAAAUUCAAGUAACCUGAGGUCCCAUAUUUAGUAAGAGGCAGAGGAGUUAGAUGUGUCAAUAGCUAAAUUACAUGGCUGUGUCCUCUAGCUGGCCAGGGACUGACAACAUCAGUAUCACCUGGUGACUCUCCCAGGGGAGAUGUUUUUAAAAAUCUUUUCCAGUAAUUCUGUGCAACAUGGCAAUCUGAAACCAGUCUUUCAGACCUGGAAGUUCUUUAGAGACCACAGGACUCUCUUUGAUAUUUUUUCUUUUGAAUUUUUUUAAAAUACAGAAUCCUUUUUCAUGUUCUCUGUUUAUAAAACAACUGCAUGUCAAUUACAUUAUUUUUUAGAAGAUAGGUACAAGAGCCAGGCGUGGUGGCUCAUGGCUGUAAUCACAACACUUUGGGAGGUCGAGGCAGGUGGAUCAUUUGAGGCUGGAAGUUCGAGACCAGCCUGGCCAACAUGGCAAAACCUGUCUCUACUAAAAAUAUAAAAAAUUAGCCUGGAGUAGUGGUGCAUGUCCCAGCUACUCGGGAGGCUGAGGCAUGAAAAUCGCUUGAACCCGGGAGGUGCAGGUUGCAGUGAGCCAAGAUCGCACCACUGCACUCCAGCCUGGGCAACAGAGCAAGACUGUGUCUUGACAGCAACAAAAAAAGAAGAUAGGUAUAGGAAUUAAAAAGAAAGCAAAUAAUUACUGGUAGCCUGACCACUAAGAGAUAUAUACUGAUAUUUUUUUUGCGGGGGGUGCAUCUCCUUGCAGGCCUUUUUGUAUGUUUAUGUUCAAACACAUUUGUAACAACAAUGAAUAAAAAACGCAUAAUAUUCAAUGA
rnacentral:lncRNA from 1 species